rnacentral:rRNA from 1 species
UGGGGAAUUUUGGACAAUGGGGGAAACCCUGAUCCAGCCAUCCCGCGUGUGCGAUGAAGGCCUUCGGGUUGUAAAGCACUUUUGGCAGGAAAGAAACGUCGCGGGUUAAUACCCCGCGAAACUGACGGUACCUGCAGAAUAAGCACCGGCUAACUACGUGCCAGCAGCCGCGGUAAUACGUAGGGUGCAAGCGUUAAUCGGAAUUACUGGGCGUAAAGNUGCGCAGGCGGUUCGGAAAGAAAGAUGUGAAAUCCCAGAGCUUAACUUUGGAACUGCAUUUUUAACUACCGGGCUAGAGUGCGUCAGAGGGAGGUGGAAUUCCGCGUGUAGCAGUGAAAUGCGUAGAUAUGCGGAGGAACACCGAUGGCGAAGGCAGCCUCCUGGGAUAACACUGACGCUCAUGCACGAAAGCGUGGGGAGCAAACAGGAUUAGAUACCCUGGUAGUCCACGCCCUAAACGAUGUCAACUAGCUGUUGGGGCCUUCGGGCCUUGGUAGCGCAGCUAACGCGUGAAGUUGACCGCCUGGGGAGUACGGUCGCAAGAUU